rnacentral:tRNA from 1 species
GCCAGAGUGGUGGAAUUGGUAGACACGCUACCUUGAGGGGGUAGUGGAGCAAUCCGUGCUGGUUCGAGUCCAGUCUCUGGUACCA